rnacentral:misc_RNA from 1 species
ACAAAUCCAAUAAUUGUGGGGAACUCCUGUUCUUCUGCAAAUAUUAAUCCGCCGGCGGCUAUUUGGCAGCUGGCUGUGAUAUAAAUGCGUGUUAUGUUGACAGUGUGUGUAAAAAUUAAUAUUGA